GGCACUGCACACCAGCUCCUGCUGCAGCUCAGCAGGUAGAGCUGGCCAUGGAGGGAUGGGGAGGAGGAAGGCUCACCAGAAAAGCCUUUGCAAACCUUCCAAAGCAGCUCAGCAGCUGCCCAGUGAGCGGGGCAAAGAUGGUUCUGCUGAAGAAGAGCUUUAAAGUCUUGUUGCUGUCAGUGGCUCUUGCUGCUGUUUUCUGUGGGACUGCCCUGCCAGGAUGGUCACUGUGGACAGAGGGACUCAUGGAGGAGCUGCCAAGUGUAUUUCCAGCAGGACUAAAAACCCUCUGGAAUUCACACACUUGGAUUGAAACCCAGAAGCUGCAGAAUCUGCUGCAAGAGGUCACUCAGCUGAGGGCAGAGAUCAGUAGUUUGAAGGAAUUCACCCAGAUGGCUCUGGAAUCCUGUGUCAAGACCGACUGGGCCCUUAAGAGCUCUGGAGCCACCAUUGACACACAAAGAACUUCCCAGACCUACGACUGCAAGGACAGCUGUGUCUGCAGGUUUUUACGUUUCUUCUGGCCUGCCAGCCCUCCUGAUACUAUUCUGCAGCCAAAUGUUUUCCCAGGGAGCUGCUGGCCUUUCAAAGGGCAUCAGGGGCAGGUUGUCAUCAGGCUGCCAGCACGAGUCUACCUGACUGCCAUCACCCUGCAGCACAUCACCCAGGAGGCCUCUCCAAGUGGGACCGUCAUCAGUGCCCCCAAAGACAUUGCAGUCUUUGGACUGGAUGCAGUCAGAGAAGAGGAAACUCUCCUGGGGAUGUUCACCUACAAUGUGGAAAAAGACCCCAUUCAGACUUUUCCUCUGAAGAACAUGCUGCUCCCCAGAGCCUUUUCACAUGUCAAACUUCUUGUGAAGAGCAACUGGGGGAACCCAUGGUACACCUGCAUUUACCGAGUGAAGGUUCAUGGGAAGAUGGAAAACCAGAAAGACUCAACCAAGGGCCCAGAUAAAUAAAGAAGAAAUCACAAAAGAAGAAGAAAGGGCAAGGGGAAGAAGGGAAAUGGGGGGAAAAUGUGGCAGCACAAUGUUGAUUUUAGACGAUGCAUGUGGGACUGUCAGAAACACAGUGGAAGCCACGAGUCCAGGGUUUAAGACAAUGACAGAAUUCAUGGAAACCUCUCCUCCUUGACCAUGGAUGUGCAGUGAGAGGAUCAUUUGUGCCACAGCCUGGCACUACUGACUAAAAUAAACAAAGCUGCAGGUCCC